CCUAUAUCUGGAUGUCUAACUUUCUUGCUAGAUUUGGGAAGUUUUCAUCAAUUAUUUCCUUAGAUUUUCUAAACUUUUUUUUAUCCCUCUUCCCCCUCAGGAAUGCCAAUAAUUUGUAAGUUCAGUCACUUUUUGUAGUUCCAUAUGUCUUGAAGGCUUUGUUCAUCUUUUUUUCCUUUUUUUUUCUUUUUGUCUGACUGGAUUAUUUCAAAAGACCUGUCUUCAAGUUCUGAGAUUCUUUCUCCUACUUGGUCAAGUCUAUUAUUGGAGCUUUCAAAUGUAUUCUGUAUUUGCUUCAGUGCAUUUUUUUAAUUCCAAAAUUUCUGCUUUGUUUUUUGUUUUUGAGACAGGAUCUCUCUCUGUCACUCAGGCUGGAACACAGUGGUGCAAACACAGCUCACUGCAACCUCAAUUUUCUGGUCUCAAGUGAUCCUCCCACCUUGGCCUCUUGAAUACCUGGGACUACAGAUAUGGUGACCAGUGAAGGGACCUGAAUGAAGGUUACUGAUGUCUCUGAGACUCCUUGAGGAACACAGAAAAGAUGCUGCUAACCUCCCCUUUAAGUGGUGGGGGGUGGGUCCCCUGUCUUCCUCCUGGAGCCCUGAGAAUCCUGUUUUCCUCCAAAAUCUGGCUACAACUAAGAACAAAAACUGCUAAACUGGACAACUCAACAUAAAUUUCAAAGGACAAGUCUCAUGCCUGAUGUGUGAACUACAUGCGGAGUUGAAUAUAAUGCCUGCUAGCACAACCAGAGACAUUCAACUGCAAAUCAGGACGAGAAGUUGCCAACUUCAUGCUGUGGAGUUUUUCCCAAGAUGCAUGGAAUGAGACUCCCUAUCGUAUUUUGAUAACAACAGAGCACCAGGGAAAAGACCUCUAUUAACCUCAAAUUAAAUUCAGAAA
rnacentral:lncRNA from 10 species